GAUGAACGCUGGCGGCGUGCCUAAUACAUGCAAGUCGAGCGAACGGACGAGAAGCUUGCUUCUCUGAUGUUAGCGGCGGACGGGUGAGUAACACGUGGAUAACCUACCUAUAAGACUGGGAUAACUUCGGGAAACCGGAGCUAAUACCGGAUAAUAUUUUGAACCGCAUGGUUCAAAAGUGAAAGACGGUCUUGCUGUCACUUAUAGAUGGAUCCGCGCUGCAUUAGCUAGUUGGUAAGGUAACGGCUUACCAAGGCAACGAUGCAUAGCCGACCUGAGAGGGUGAUCGGCCACACUGGAACUGCGGCCCGGUCCAGACUCCUACGGGAGGCAGCAGUAGGGAAUCUUCCGCAAUGGGCGAAAGCCUGACGGAGCAACGCCGCGUGAGUGAUGAAGGUCUUCGGGUCGUAAAACUCUGUUAUUAGGGAAGAACAUAUGUGUAAGUAACUGUGCACAUCUUGACGGUACCUAAUCAGAAGGCCACGGCUAACUACGU
rnacentral:rRNA from 1 species